CUCCCAUUCAGCUGGUUAGAGAAUGGGGCUGAUAACGCCAAGGUUGCAGGUUCGAUCCCUGUAUGGGACA